GCCUCCCUCGCCGCCAUCAGACUCCUACGGGAGGCAGCAGUAAGGAAUAUUGGUCAAUGGACGAAAGUCUGAACCAGCCAUGCCGCGUGAAGGAUGAAGGCCCUCUGGGUUGUAAACUUCUUUUAUCUUGGGACGAAAAAAGGGAAUUACUUUCCCACUUUGACGGUACCAGAGGAAUAAGCACCGGCUAACUCCGUGCCAGCAGCCGCGGUAAUAC
rnacentral:rRNA from 1 species